rnacentral:miRNA from 1 species
UUUGAGACUUUGGCCAUGGCC